rnacentral:rRNA from 1 species
AUUGAGCGCUGGCGGCAGGCCUAACACAUGCAAGUCGAGCGGAUGAAGGGAGCUUGCUCCUGGAUUCAGCGGCGGACGGGUGAGUAAUGCCUAGGAAUCUGCCUGGUAGUGGGGGAUAACGUCCGGAAACGGGCGCUAAUACCGCAUACGUCCUGAGGGAGAAAGUGGGGGAUCUUCGGACCUCACGCUAUCAGAUGAGCCUAGGUCGGAUUAGCUAGUUGGUGGGGUAAAGGCCUACCAAGGCGACGAUCCGUAACUGGUCUGAGAGGAUGAUCAGUCAAACUGGAACUGGGACACGGGCCAGGACUCCACGGGAGGCAGGAGUGGGGAAUAUUGGGAAAGGGGGGAAAGCCUUAUCCAGGCAGGCCCGGUGUUGAAAGAAGGUUUUCGGAUUUGAAAAGCCUUUAAGUUGGGAGGAAGGGAAGUAAGUUAAAACCUUGGUUUUUUGGCGUUACCAAAAAAAAAAGCACCGGCGAACCUCG